GCUGGGUGUGGUGGUGCAGGCCUUUAAUCCCAGCACUUGGGAGGCAGAGGCAGGUGGAUCACUGUGAGUUUGAAGCCAGCCUGGUCUACAUAGCAGUUCCAGACCAGCUGGGGCUACAGGAAGACCCUGUCCGGAAAGAAAGAAAGAGAAAGAAAAUGGUUUCCCUAUAGCCCCAGCUGGCUUGGAACUCCCUAUGUAGACCAGGCUGACCCGAAUCUCCCAGAGAUCUGCCUGCCUCU
rnacentral:sRNA from 1 species